rnacentral:rRNA from 1 species
AGUGAACGCUGGCGGUAGGCCUAACACAUGCAAGUCGAACGGCAGCACAGUAAGAGCUUGCUCUUACGGGUGGCGAGUGGCGGACGGGUGAGGAAUACAUCGGAAUCUACUUUUUCGUGGGGGAUAACGUAGGGAAACUUACGCUAAUACCGCAUACGACCUACGGGUGAAAGCAGGGGGUCUUCGGACCUUGCGCGAUUGAAUGAGCCGAUGUCGGAUUAGCUAGUUGGCGGGGUAAAGGCCCACCAAGGCGGCGAUCCGUAGCUGGUCUGAGAGGAUGAUCAGCCACACUGGAACUGAGACACGGUCCAGACUCCUACGGGAGGCAGCAGUGGGGAAUAUUGGACAAUGGGCGCAAGCCUGAUCCAGCCAUACCGCGUGGGUGAAGAAGGCCUUCGGGUUGUAAAGCCCUUUUGUUGGGAAAGAAAAGCAGCAGGUUAAUACCCCGCUGUUCUGACGGUACCCAAAGAAUAAGCACCGGCUAACUUCGUG